rnacentral:misc_RNA from 1 species
AGCAGAAACGGUUAGGCCCCUGGAAAGUGAAAAAAACAUAGAAAAAAAGAUGGCGGAGACCAAGACGGUAGGCGUGGUUGGCAGUGGCCAGAUGGGCUCCGGUAUCGCCCAACUCGCCGCUUUACAUGGGCUCCAUGUCUGGCUCCUUGACACGGAUCCUGAUGCUCUUUCCAAAGCUAGAAAAUCUGUCGCUAGUAACAUCCACCGGCUCGUCUCCAAAGGUCGUCUCUCUCAGGCAGCUUUCAAUGAUGCUGUGGGGCGUUUAUAUUGUACCUCAAAGUUGGAGGAGCUGCGUGAGGCAGAUUUUGUUAUUGAAGCUAUUGUGGAAUCUGAAGAUGUGAAGAAAAAGUUAUUUCUUGAAGUUGACAAGUUUGUUAAAAGUUCAGCCAUUUUGGCUUCUAAUACAAGUUCUAUCUCCAUAACUCGUCUUGCCUCUGCAACUAGCAGGCCGAGCCAGGUUAUGCUUAUAUUGUUUCUUCUUUUGCCCUUAGUUUGCCUUGGAACAUCUAUUAAGAACAUUUUGCAUAAAUUAAAGCAUCUCCUGUAUAACAUUUGCAUAAGUCUCAAGGGACUCUGGAGUUUCUGUUUUCCUUUUCAUCUUUUUUAUGUAUUAAUUUCAACAAUUCUAGAUUCUAACUAGGUUAAAGAAAUAUAUCAUCUACAGGUAAUAGGCAUGCAUUUUAUGAAUCCUCCUCCAAUAAUGAAAUUGGUUGAGAUUGUGCGUGGUGCAGACACAUCAGAUGAGACAUUUUAUGCAACCAGGGCCUUGGCAGAGAGGUUUGGCAAGACAGUUAUAUGCUCACAGGAUUUUUCUGGUUUCAUUGUAAACCGAAUCCUAAUGCCAAUGAUAAACGAAGCAAUUCAUACUCUUUAUACCGGAGUGGCAACAAAGGAGGACAUUGAUACAGGAAUGAAGUUAGGAACAAACCAUCCAAUGGGUCCUUUAGAGCUUGCAGAUUUUAUAGGAUUGGAUGUCUGCCUGUCAAUAAUGAAAGUGCUUCAUGCUGGCCUAGGGGAAAGUAAAUAUGCUCCCUGUCCUCUUCUUGUGCAGUAUGUUGAUGCCGGUCGUCUCGGACGAAAACGUGGUAUUGGAGUAUAUGACUAUCGUAAAACACCUGAACAAGUAAAGCCAUCAGCUCGGCUUUGAAAUUAUAGCAUAGUAUUUUGCCAAUAGUGCAACGCUUUGUAAAUAAAAUACAUGCAAAUAAGUGUCUACUACCAACUCCUUCAAUUGUGUUGUUUUCUUCCUUUGGAUCCUUGUAAAUUAAGAAAAAGUUCUAUAGAACGUGGGUAAGAUCCUCCAAAAAGGGAAAGAUUGUGCCUGAAGUAAUGAACGUUGCAGAAUUCUUUAUCAUCAGUUCAAAGUGAUUGAUGAUUUACUAAUAUUCCUUUACUUAUU